GUCAUUUAAUCAUUUCACACAAAAUUCACACGUACAGAAACUUUACAGGAAUAAAUACAAACAAAAUCAGUUUAAGUUUGUUUCUGAUUAUAUGAAUGUUUUUUUUUCUAUAUUCUGGCCAAAUUCAGGAGGAAACCAAGUUUAACACUGGAGGAAAACAGCAGUCAUUUUUUAUAGAAAAUGUUGUAAAUAAAGUUGUAGAAUUUUGAGAAAGAAGUCGUAACUUUAGGAGAUAAGUCUGUUUGAGAAAAACUCGUUAGUUUAUAAGAGAAAGAUGUUAGUUUGAGUCAGUGGUUAUUUUUCAGGGACUAAGGACAGAGUAACCUGCUGUCUGAGCUCAAACCAGGGAUGUGGAUCAUCUUCUGAAGUUCUGCUCCAGUACCGGCUUUCUUAUUAAUGUUCCUGUCUAAUCCUGUUUGGACAACAUUCGUCUGGGAUUAUUUCUCUUUUACACAUUAUCUUUGGCUCCUCCAUGCUCCCUGUAAGUUGAAUCUUUUGGCAGUAUGAUGGUUAAUUUCUCAGUAAAAUAAAAAACACAUAUAUUUGUGUUGGUGCUGCACUGCAAGGAUACUCACUCUCUUCACUGCUGGAUCAAUGGACCAGAUAAUCUAUUAAUUAUAUUAAUUAAUCAUCCUUCCUGCAGAACAGAGUCAGUGUGGAGGUUUACACACAGCACUAAUGAGCGAUGGUAAACUGAAUUAUCUGAAAUAAAACCUCUGAGUGAAUAAAACUGAGCCACAGACGGUUUUUAAGUCUCCUGGUAACUCGGUGUCUGUGGAUUACAGCUCAAUGUUGCCACCUAGUGGUGAUUUGAGGACCCUGCAGGUCUGGAGCGGAGGACUUGUUGAUAUUCCCUCCACAUUGUAACCGAUUUCAAAUGGUGCUAGACAUGAUGGAAACUCUGAACACCAGACGAAAACGGUCAGCCUUGAUGAGAGGGGGUCAGACAGGCGUGAGAGAGGGUCCGUCCAACGCCACGCUGAAGAGAGAGAGAGAGAGAGAGAGAGAGAGGUGCAGAGGGCUGAUCGAACACAGGAUUAUGUACCUCAUAAAGACUCGUGUUUCUCUAAACUGUGCAUGAAAGACGCCACCACACCGCAGCCGUCCACGUUCUGGCGAGAAUGAGGUCACCGCCGUCGUCCGUCCUGAAGUCUGUUCCCCCUCAAAGGACACCGAUUUCAAAUGGUGCUAGAUGGGAUUUCAUACUCUAAGACACCACCUGAAACCGGUUCCCUGGGGAGGACGCCUUUAGAGGAAACGCGCUGAGAAGAACCGUCGUCCUCCGCCAUCAGAAAGAAAAACAUUCAUGUCGUCAUUUUCCCCUGAGACUCAGCUGUUCCAGAAAUAAUGGAUGUCGAAGGCGUUUUUCAGUAACACACUCGAUAAAAGAGGCUGAUUCUGUUAGGCGGGAACAAUUUAGUCUGUGUGAAGGAACGUAAUGAAAUCUGAGCUAAGUGAGUUUCUCAUUAGACAGAUGUUUGUCUCCAAACUGCUGAAUAAAGUCUCUCUCUCUCUCUUCACUCUCUGUGAAGACCUCUGUACGCCCGUGUGAACCUCUGCUCAUUGUUUGAAUCUGGGCUUUCUAUUCUAGGUGUGGUGUUGAAACGGGAUAAAGAGGCGGUUAGAUAACCAUCGAUUAAACUUUUGGUUGUUUUGGAGGAACUAGACUAACACCAGGAAGUAAAAUACACAAGACGUAUCGAAAACUAACAUGAGAGCCACACUGUUGGAUUCUCAGGUCCGGACUGAAGACUGUAUAUUGUUAGUCAUUAAACUGUUUCCAGAACAAAUUCCUCCCUAAAGGAGAACCUCGGCCCGAUCCCAGUCCUCCUGUAAGUGCUGAACCUCUGCAGACUGUGGUCAUGUCCGGUGUGAACUACAUGAAGGUAACGCUGCGAGUCUAUCGAUCGGAAUCUGACACAACAGAAAACUCAUCGUGUAUUUUAACUGUUCAGUUUUCAGCUGUGACAGCGACCUACGCUAACCCAUCUGUGUGACUCCAACGUGGAAAAUAGAGACCGACUGUUUGACUGAAUAAACUCGAGGAGUGUCGGUUUGUUUAGACUCAGACACUUAAGAAAACGUGAUCAGAAGAGGUUCAGUGGAUCAGUUUACUCUGACUGGGACUCAAACUGAUUCGAAAUUAGGGCCUGAACGGUUUAUCGACGAGCCGAUUAAAUCCGCCAAUUUUAGCCCGUUUGAGACUAAUCUGUAAUCGGCCAAAACUCGCCGAUUUUCGCUGAUAUUUUCAUAAACAAAAUGCGGAGAAUAAGAUUCGGUUUCACUUUGAAAAUGUUCCUCCAUUUGAGAAGUUCCCCGACUUCUCCUGUAGAUGGCGCUACAGCGACCUCAUGCCGAUCUUCAUCCACUAACUCCCUCACAGCACAGCAGAGUGAGGAUCUGAAGCAGCAGCUCAGGGACACGGAGGAGAGUGGUCCACCUCAACGGGAAAUAAACCCGUUUGUCAAAAACACAAUAAGUCAACAAGUUUCAGUUCAACCCAC